CCUGUCCUUAAAAAACUAAAAGAAAACUUCAGGACUAUUUAACUGUUCCAGGUGUUCCUCAACCCUGUGCCCUCCAGAUGUGUUGGACUAUAGCUCCCAUCCAAUCCAGCCAGCAAGCUAACUGGGCCUGAUGGUGUUUGUGGUCCAAUACAUCUAACCAAUGACUCUUUUCUCUGUGAAAGUAAGUCAUUCUAUAAACCCCAGCAGAGAGGCAGAACUGGCCCAAGGCAAAGAUGGGAAUGCCUGUUUCAUUCCAUGUUAGAAACCAAACUUGGCUUACUUGGUGAAUAUUUUCCAGCAUAGUGACAAUAAAUAUAAUACCUGUAAUCAGCAGGCAAGGUUGGGGGUGCAGAAAUCCACACCUGCAUCUUCCAUGAACUAUAUUAGUCAAUAUCAGAGCUCAAUUGUGGAUGGAGAUAAAAAGGAGUGAUUCCUGGAAACUAUCCUGAAACUGAUUUGUCUUUUCAGAACAAGGUCCCUGUUCUGUCUCAGCCUCCUUGAAAUUCAGUGCAGGAAUCAUUGCUGGAGCUUUGCUGGGAACCCUCACCUGGACCAGCACAUUCCCCCUCUUCUCAGUGAUCUUCUGCAUGUUCUCAUCAUUCUUUCCUGAAUGCUGAAUUUGGAAGCAGUUCCUUCCUUUUUGAAAGAUUCCUUUGCAGAGAACAGGCACGUGAGUUUUGCUGUGUCUGUAUGUAUAGUGGAACAGCUCUCUGUUCGGAUAUUAAGCUUGAUCUGAUGCUGAUUUCUUUUGAAGCUCAACUUUGACCCAAACUGUGUAUUAGUUUAUUUUGUUUCUGUUUAUAUGAACAAAACUUAAGCCAUUCUGAACUUUAAAACCUGGGAAUGUUGGCAGCCUGUAAAACAUGGAGAAAAGCUAUAUAUCUCGUCACUAGGAGUCAAAAACGACUUGAUGGCACAUAAUCUAAACAUACAUUGUAUUUUGUACCUAACACCUGUACAUGGCUUAUUUUUCUGGCAGUUGAUGCAUAUUAUCCAAUUUUGAAAACAGAAAAAUCUAUGGAUGCCCUUUCUCCAUCCCAACAUUGCUCAAAAUAAAAUGUGGUUUUUCACUUGAAUUAA